rnacentral:rRNA from 1 species
UGCAGUCGAACGAUGAAGCCCAGCUUGCUGGGUGGAUUAGUGGCGAACGGGUGAGUAACACGUGAGUAACCUGCCCUUAACUCUGGGAUAAGCCUGGGAAACUGGGUCUAAUACCGGAUAGGAGCGUCCACCGCAUGGUGGGUGUUGGAAAGAUUUAUCGGUUUUGGAUGGACUCGCGGCCUAUCAGCUUGUUGGUGAGGUAAUGGCUCACCAAGGCGACGACGGGUAGCCGGCCUGAGAGGGUGACCGGCCACACUGGGACUGAGACACGGCCCAGACUCCUACGGGAGGCAGCAGUGGGGAAUAUUGCACAAUGGGCGCAAGCCUGAUGCAGCGACGCCGCGUGAGGGAUGACGGCCUUCGGGUUGUAAACCUCUUUCAGUAGGGAAGAAGCGAAAGUGACGGUACCUGCAGAAGAAGCACCGGCUAACUACGUGCCAGCAGCCGCGGUAAUACGUAGGGUGCGAGCGUUAUCCGGAAUUAUUGGGCGUAAAGAGCUCGUAGGCGGUUUGUCGCGUCUGUCGUGAAAGUCCGGGGCUUAACCCCGGAUCUGCGGUGGGUACGGGCAGACUAGAGUGCAGUAGGGGAGACUGGAAUUCCUGGUGUAGCGGUGGAAUGCGCAGAUAUCAGGAGGAACACCGAUGGCGAAGGCAGGUCUCUGGGCUGUAACUGACGCUGAGGAGCGAAAGCAUGGGGAGCGAACAGGAUUAGAUACCCUGGUAGUCCAUGCCGUAAACGUUGGGCACUAGGUGUGGGGACCAUUCCACGGUUUCCGCGCCGCAGCUAACGCAUUAAGUGCCCCGCCUGGGGAGUACGGCCGCAAGGCUAAAACUCAAAGGAAUUGACGGGGGCCCGCACAAGCGGCGGAGCAUGCGGAUUAAUUCGAUGCAACGCGAAGAACCUUACCAAGGCUUGACAUGUUCUCGAUCGCCGUAGAGAUACGGUUUCCCCUUUGGGGCGGGUUCACAGGUGGUGCAUGGUUGUCGUCAGCUCGUGUCGUGAGAUGUUGGGUUAAGUCCCGCAACGAGCGCAACCCUCGUUCCUGUUG